AACGCUAGCGACAGGCUUAACACAUGCAAGUCGAGGGGCAGCACAGGUAGCAAUACCGGGUGGCGACCGGCGCACGGGUGAGUAACGCGUAUGCAACUUACCUAUCAGAGGGGGAUAACCCGGCGAAAGUCGGACUAAUACCGCAUGAAGCAGGGGUCCCGCAUGGGGAUAUUUGCUAAAGAUUCAUCGCUGAUAGAUAGGCAUGCGUUCCAUUAGGCAGUUGGCGGGGUAACGGCCCACCAAACCGACGAUGGAUAGGGGUUCUGAGAGGAAGGUCCCCCACAUUGGUACUGAGACACGGACCAAACUCCUACGGGAGGCAGCAGUGAGGAAUAUUGGUCAAUGGCCGAGAGGCUGAACCAGCCAAGUCGCGUGAGGGAUGAAGGUUCUAUGGAUCGUAAACCUCUUUUAUAAGGGAAUAAAGCGCGGGACGUGUCCCGUUUUGUAUGUACCUUAUGAAUAAGGAUCGGCUAACUCCGUGCCAGCAGCCGCGGUAAUACGGAGGAUCCGAGCGUUAUCCGGAUUUAUUGGGUUUAAAGGGUGCGUAGGCGGCCUUUUAAGUCAGCGGUGAAAGUCUGUGGCUCAACCAUAGAAUUGCCGUUGAAACUGGGGGGCUUGAGUAUGUUUGAGGCAGGCGGAAUGCGUGGUGUAGCGGUGAAAUGCAUAGAUAUCACGCAGAACCCCGAUUGCGAAGGCAGCCUGCCAAGCCAUUACUGACGCUGAUGCACGAAAGCGUGGGGAUCAAACAGGAUUAGAUACCCUGGUAGUCCACGCAGUAAACGAUGAUCACUAGCUGUUUGCGAUACACUGUAAGCGGCACAGCGAAAGCGUUAAGUGAUCCACCUGGGGAGUACGCCGGCAACGGUGAAACUCAAAGGAAUUGACGGGGGCCCGCACAAGCGGAGGAACAUGUGGUUUAAUUCGAUGAUACGCGAGGAACCUUACCCGGGUUUGAACGCAUUCGGACCGAGGUGGAAACACCUUUUCUAGCAAUAGCCGUUUGCGAGGUGCUGCAUGGUCGUCGUCAGCUCGUGCCGUGAGGUGUCGGCUUAAGUGCCAUAACGAGCGCAACCCUUGCCACUAGUUACUAACAGGUAAAGCUGAGGACUCUGGUGGGACUGCCAGCGUAAGCUGCGAGGAAGGCGGGGAUGACGUCAAAUCAGCACGGCCCUUACAUCCGGGGCGACACACGUGUUACAAUGGCGUGGACAAAGGGAAGCCACCUGGCGACAGGGAGCGAAUCCCCAAACCACGUCUCAGUUCGGAUCGGAGUCUGCAACCCGACUCCGUGAAGCUGGAUUCGCUAGUAAUCGCGCAUCAGCCAUGGCGCGGUGAAUACGUUCCCGGGCCUUGUACACACCGCCCGUCAAGCCAUGGGAGCCAGGGGUACCUGAAGUCCGUAACCGCGAGGAUCGGCCUAGGGUAAAACUGGUGACUGGGGCU
rnacentral:rRNA from 1 species